GUCAGUGUGGCGUAGUGGUUUGAGUGUUGAACUAUGACUAAAGACCACGGUUCAAUUCCUUGCUCAGCCA